rnacentral:rRNA from 1 species
AUUGAACGCUGGCGGCAUGCUUUACACAUGCAAGUCGAACGGUAACAGGUUAAGCUGACGAGUGGCGAACGGGUGAGUAAUGCAUCGGAACGUGCCCGAUCGUGGGGGAUAACGCAGCGAAAGCUGCGCUAAUACCGCAUACGAUCUGAGGAUGAAAGCGGGGGACCGUAAGGCCUCGCGCGAUCGGAGCGGCCGAUGUCAGAUUAGGUAGUUGGUGGGGUAAAGGCCCACCAAGCCGACGAUCUGUAGCUGGUCUGAGAGGACGACCAGCCACACUGGGAAUGAGACACGGCCCAGACUCCUACGGGAGGCAGCAGUGGGGAAUUUUGGACAAUGGGCGAAAGCCUGAUCCAGCAAUGCCGCGUGCAGGAAGAAGGCCUUCGGGUUGUAAACUGCUUUUGUACGGAGCGAAAAGGUCCUUUCUAAUACAAGGGGCUCAUGACGGUACCGUAAGAAUAAGCACCGGCUAACUACGUGCCAGCAGCCGCGGUAA